UACAGAGGUCCCGAGCGUUUGUUCGGAUUCACUGGGCGUAAAGGGUGCGUAGGUGGCCUGAAAAGUUUGAUGUGAAAGCUCAGGGCUUAACCCUGAAAUGGCAUUGAAUACUGUUGGGCUGGAGGUUUGGAGGGGGGGACUGGAAUUCUUGGUGUAGCAGUGAAAUGCGUAGAUAUCAAGAGGAACACCAGUGGCGAAGGCGCCUGCCUGGCUGAUUACUGACGCUGAGACUCGAAAGCAUGGGGGAGCAAACAGG
rnacentral:rRNA from 1 species